rnacentral:lncRNA from 1 species
GAAGGUUGACUUUAUCUAAUUUUUGGGCUAUUAAGUUCAAAUCAACCUUAGGACUAGAGUCUGUUUGCUUGAUCUCAAAAAUUUCUAUCCGCUUUUGGUGAGGGGUUGAUCUUUCAUAAGAAGAUAAUAAAGCAUCAUUGAUCAAAUUUUCACUCAAAGUUUCAAACAAAGUAUAGGCUUCAUUCUCACUCUUACUCAUGAAUGCACCUCCACA